UACGUAGGGUGCAAGCGUUAAUCGGAAUUACUGGGCGUAAAGCGUGCGCAGGCGGUUUUGUAAGACAGGUGUGAAAUCCCCGGGCUUAACCUGGGAACUGCAUUUUGUGACUGCAAGGCUGGAGUGCGGCAGAGGGAUGGAAUUCCGCGUGUAGCAGUGAAAUGCGUAGAUAUGCGGAGGAACACCGAUGGCGAAGGCAAUCC
rnacentral:rRNA from 1 species